UAAAAGUAGAAAUACUCUGGUCACCCAAUCAGGCUUACUGGUGUCUGCUGGUCAAGCUGAAUAAGUUGGAUGGCAAGCCAAUUGGACAGUCCCUCUUAACCCCUGAAGAGCAAGAAGCAGUCUGUUCUUACUCAUGGACUCAAGAUGGACAUGGACAAAGUUGAGCUGAUCGUCUUCCAAGGUGUGGUGAGGUUUGGCCGGGACAUUCAGGUAGCCAUAGCGCUCCUUGUUACACAGUUUAUAUGAUUACAUAAACCACAGGCAAUCGCUAUCGAACCUGCAGCCCGGCAGGAGAAGGCGAACACGAUGAUGUCGUCGUAUGGCCACGAGUAGUCCUUAUGAGGAGGGAAGAAGGCCAGUUUCUUCA